rfam:Palaeococcus pacificus DY20341, complete genome.
GCCCCCGAACAGGGGGCCCAAAGCCCUGGUGCCAAGACGGCGGCGUCGAGGGGAGCGAGGGCAAAGCCCUCACAAUGAACCCCGCCCUCCAACCAAGGGCACA